UGCAGUCGAACGCCGACGCACCUUCGGGUGUUUAGGAGUGGCAGACGGGUGAGUAACGCGUGGGAACCUACCUUUAGGUACGGAAUAACGCAGGGAAACUUGUGCUAAUACCUUAUACGCCCUUCGGGGGAAAGAUUUAUCGGAUUUGGAUUAGCCCGCGUUAGAUUAGAUAGUUGGUGGGGUAAUGGCCUACCAAGUCUACGAUCUAUAGCUGGUUUUAGAGGAUGAUCAGCAACACUGGGACUGAGACACGGCCCAGACUCCUACGGGAGGCAGCAGUGGGGAAUCUUAGACAAUGGGCGAAAGCCUGAUCUAGCCAUGCCGCGUGUGUGAUGAAGGCCCUAGGGUCGUAAAGCACUUUCGCCAGAGAUGAUAAUGACAGUAUCUGGUAAAGAAACCCCGGCUAACUCCGUGCCAGCAGCCGCGGUAAUACGGAGGGGGUUAGCGUUGUUCGGAAUUACUGGGCGUAAAGCGUACGUAGGCGGAUUAGUAAGUUAGGGGUGAAAUCCCGAGGCUCAACCUCGGAACUGCCUCUAAAACUGCUAGUCUUGAGUUCGAGAGAGGUGAGUGGAAUUCCGAGUGUAGAGGUGAAAUUCGUAGAUAUUCGGAGGAACACCAGUGGCGAAGGC
rnacentral:rRNA from 1 species